UUCCCCGCCCCGGGCCACCACGACAACGUUGCACCAUCACUGCCUUCCGCACGUGAUGGCGCAACCGUUAGUACGGCCUAUUGUUCAUCAGUUAUCUCUUUGUAAGCGUGUGUAGUCGUGUGUCUAGUUUUCUGUAUAGGCUGUAGUAGAGAGUGUAUUUUGGUUGGCAAUAGAAAUAGCGGAGAGUAGUAUUCCA